UGUUUAUCUCAGGGCAGGGUGAAAGUCCCUACCGGCGGUAACAUGAAAUGAUCGAAUGAUCAUUUUAUGAAGCCCGCGAGCGCUCUGUUUGUUGUUAUCCGUAACGAAAUAAAACAGAGGUCAGCAGAUCCAGUGUGAUUCUGGAGCCGACGGUGAUAGUCCGGAUGGGAGAGAAUAACA
rnacentral:ncRNA from 2 species